GGAUGUGAGGGUGAUCUGGCUGGUUAGGUGAACGUCCCUUUUCCUCCCUCACUGCUUCAUGUAAAUCCCUCUCAAUGCUGCACACUUGGUCAAAGAGGAUGACCUUCCCCAAAUAAAAAUAAAGAAACUUUAGAAAUACAAA
rnacentral:snRNA from 1 species